AUACGAAGGGUGCAAGCGUUACUCGGAAUUACUGGGCGUAAAGCGUGCGUAGGUGGUUGUUUAAGUCUGUCGUGAAAGCCCUGGGCUCGACCUGGGAAUGGCGAUGGAAACUGGGCGACUAGAGUGUGGCAGAGGGUAGUGGAAUUCCUGGUGUAGCAGUGAAAUGCGUAGAGAUCAGGAGGAACAUCCGUGGCGAAGGCGACUGCCUGGGCCAACACUGACACUGAGGCACGAAAGCGUGGGGAGCAAACAGGAUUAGAUACCCUGGUAGUCCACGCCCUAAACGAUGCGAACUGGAUGUUGGGUGCAAUUUGGCACGCAGUAUCGAAGCUAACGCGUUAAGUUCGCCGCCUGGGGAGUACGGUCGCAAGACUGAAACUCAAAGGAAUUGACGGG
rnacentral:rRNA from 1 species